AUGAGCCGCCGGAUCUCCCAGUGAGGAGGCCGGGGCCGCUGGAUCCAGUGACCCCGUUCUCCUCGCCGGCGGAUCCGGAGCUCCAGA
rnacentral:pre_miRNA from 1 species